rnacentral:misc_RNA from 1 species
UAUGGUGCUAUAAGAUGACAAUCUAGCAACAAUUGCACACAUAUCAUUAGCAAGAAGUACAGUGACAAUACAUGGCAGGGACAAAGGGUGAUGAUGAUGAUAUUAAUAAUACUGGUUUUCUUUACUGUGUGAUUCUAAAAUGUACUCAAAGCAGGCAGAAUGGCAGGGAACUCGAAGCUUGUCACAAAAAACUCACCAUAACAUAAUCAUGAUAAUACUUUAGAUGAAAGAAAUAGGAAUUGAAAAUUGUCAAAGUAUAUAACUUGGAAGACUAACUAUUCCAUUCCUAAGAAAAUCCCUCCAUAGCAAAUAACUAAAAAAUGAAUAUGAAUGUUGCAUCAACUACAGACAAAACCCUGAAGAAAAUUAAAGAUCUUAUCACCGAAACUAAAACUUAUGCAGAAAAAUUAGUGAAAAAAGAUAUCAGAAACAAUCAAGAAGGGGAAAAAUGAUACUAUAAUACUAUAUACAAAAGCCAAAUCCAAGGAAACCAAAAGGGAAUUCCAACAUUAUCAAUCUAGCUCAGAAUUGGUUAGGAACAACACAGUUGAUCUAAAAAUCCAAAGAAUCAAAACUAAAAGUACAAUUAACAUACCUCCGUCUUCUUUCCUUGUAUAGA